rnacentral:tRNA from 1 species
UUUCCUGGGCCAUUAGCUCAGGUGGUUAGAGCGCACCCCUGAUAAGGGUGAGGUCCCUGGUUCAAGUCCAGGAUGGCCCAUUCGGUGUUGGGGGUUUAGCUCAGUUGGUAGAGCGCCUGCUUUGCAAGCAGGAUGUCAGGAGUUCGAGUCUCCUAACCUCCACUGACCGAACUGUAUCCCCAUCUCCAAAAGGAAUUGGAGUAUGAGUUCGAUUGGAGUGUGAUUUUAGACGUGUCCGCUGGAUGACCCCAGCUUCCUGUCAUUCCAAAUGAAAGCAAAGAGAGUUUUGCUUGUUGUGUUUGGUUGAUAAGAUGCUGGGCUCAAGUCAAAUGAUCAAGCAAUUGAUGGUUUGAUUUGAAGUUCUAGCAGAACCUUGACAACUGCAUAGGUAAGUCUGGAAAGAAUAAAGCAUCUCAUGGAUGAUGCGAUGACUCUAGAUGAUGAUCCGAAAGGAUAAUUAAAAGGAGUGAUUGCGAAUUCUAUAGAGCAAGAGCCGAGACUCCAUCACGUUCUUUUGAUUGUGUCGAGCAAUCAAGAGUUCGAUUCUUGAUUCAGCAAUGAAUCAGGGAAAAUCUGUUUCAACGACAGCAAGCGUGUUGGAGAUUAUAUGGUCAAGCUACAAAGAGCUCACGGCGGAUACCUUGGCACACAGAGGCGAUGAA